CCCCAUUCCCAGGAAUCCCAAAUCCCAAUUCCCUCCCUGUCCCCAGGACAAGGCACAGCUGGAAGCAGGUUUCAGGAGGGAUCUGAACCUGUCUCCAUCCCCAUUCCUGAGAAUCCCAAAUCCCAUUUCUGGGACAGCUGGGAGCAGGUUCUGGGAGGGAUCUGAACUUGGCUCUAUCCCCAUUCCCAGGAAUCCCAAAUCCCAUUUCUGGGACAGCCGGGAGCAGGUUCUGGGAGGGAUCUGAACCUGUCUCCAUCCCCAUUCCCAGGAAUCCCAAAUCCCAAUUCCCUCCCUGUCCCCAGGCUGACCUUCAAGCUGUGCCACCUGUACUGGAACUGGCCGGGCACCGUCCGUGUCCCUGCCCCCUGCAAGUACGCCCACAAGCUGGCCCUGCUGGUGGGCCAGGUCCUGCACCACGAGCCCAGCGCCCACCUCUGCGAGCAGCUCUUCUUCCUUUAACCUGCCAGGACCCAGAAAUCCGGGAUUGGGCCGGCACCGCCCCCACAAAACCGGCGCUGCACCCGGAAUUCUGCUCCCCCCCCCCCCCCGCUGCCGUUUGCCCCCCGUGCCCAGGGGGAUCUCCUCACUUCCCGGUUCUGCUGUUAAUUUAUUUUUAUUUUGUUGCUUUUGGGGAUGCUCUGGAUGGCAGCAGCAGCAUCCCGGGGCUGUGGGGUUUUAAUUUGGGAAUUAAUCCCCGUGGGGGUGAGCCCAAAGGAAUAUCCUGCUGGUUUCCAGCCCUCCCAGUAAAGGGGGUUGAGUUGAUGAGCCCCACAAAUGCUGCUGCUCCCACAGCUCAUCCCUAUGCAGGUGCUGGAUGUAAAUCCCAAAAAUUUCAGGUUUUUUUUUUUUUUCCCCUCCCCCGUUUUUUUGCCUUUUCCAUCCAGGUUCAAAGUUUUUUUUGUUUUGUUUUGUUUUUUUUUUCCUGGGCUUUUUCAAGCUGCUGUUGAACAAAGCAGCUCCAGUUUGGCCAGUUCUCCUGUCCUUGAGGAGUCACUGGUUUUCCAAGGAGAAUUCUUUGUGGAUUCAGGUCAUUACCCCAGGGAAAGGUUGGAGUUUUCACCUAUUUUAGGUGCUUUUUUUGCCUUGCUUGAGACAAGUUGGAAUUCCCUCCUUUUUCUCUUCGCUGUAAACCAGUUUUUUUGGUUCAUUCCAAUAAAAUCGUUGCUGGCAGCUG
ensembl:lncRNA